rnacentral:rRNA from 1 species
CCCGGUUACAUUCCGAACCCGGAAGCUAAGACUCUCAGCGCCGAUGGUACUGCAGGGGGGACCCUGUGGGAGAGUAGGUCACCGCCGGAC